rnacentral:rRNA from 2 species
UGCAGUCGAACGAUGAUGCCCAGCUUGCUGGGCGGAUUAGUGGCGAACGGGUGAGUAACACGUGAGUAACCUGCCCUUGACUUCGGGAUAACUCCGGGAAACCGGGGCUAAUACCGGAUAUGAGCCGUCCUCGCAUGGGGGUGGUUGGAAAGUUUUUCGGUCAGGGAUGGGCUCGCGGCCUAUCAGCUUGUUGGUGGGGUGAUGGCCUACCAAGGCGACGACGGGUAGCCGGCCUGAGAGGGCGACCGGCCACACUGGGACUGAGACACGGCCCAGACUCCUACGGGAGGCAGCAGUGGGGAAUAUUGCACAAUGGGCGAAAGCCUGAUGCAGCGACGCCGCGUGAGGGAUGAAGGCCUUCGGGUUGUAAACCUCUUUCAGCAGGGAAGAAGCGCAAGUGACGGUACCUGCAGAAGAAGCGCCGGCUAACUACGUGCCAGCAGCCGCGGUAAUACGUAGGGCGCAAGCGUUGUCCGGAAUUAUUGGGCGUAAAGAGCUCGUAGGCGGUUUGUCGCGUCUGGUGUGAAAACUCGAGGCUCAACCUCGAGCUUGCAUCGGGUACGGGCAGACUAGAGUGCGGUAGGGGAGACUGGAAUUCCUGGUGUAGCGGUGGAAUGCGCAGAUAUCAGGAGGAACACCGAUGGCGAAGGCAGGUCUCUGGGCCGCAACUGACGCUGAGGAGCGAAAGCAUGGGGAGCGAACAGGAUUAGAUACCCUGGUAGUCCAUG